AAGACCUUGCGCUUUUGGAGCGGCCGAUGCCUGAUUAGCUUGUUGGUAGGGUAAAGGCUUACCAAGGCUUCGAUCAGUAGCUGGUCUGAGAGGACGGCCAGCCACACUGGGACUGAGACACGGCCCAGACUCCUACGGGAGGCAGCAGUGGGGAAUUUUGGACAAUGGGGGAAACCCUGAUCCAGCCAUGCCGCGUGAGUGAAGAAGGCCUUCGGGUUGUAAAGCUCUUUCAGCCGGAACGAAACGGUUACGGAUAAUACCCGUGACUACUGACGGUACCGGAAGAAGAAGCACCGGCUAACUACGUGCCAGCAGCCGCGGUAAUACGUAGGGUGCGAGCGUUAAUCGGAAUUACUGGGCGUAAAGCGUGCGCAGGUGGUUUUGUAAGUCAGAUGUGAAAGCCCCGGGCUCAACCUGGGAACU
rnacentral:rRNA from 1 species